GUUUGAUCAUGGCUCAGAUUGAACGCUGGCGGCAGGCCUAACACAUGCAAGUCGAGCGGAUGAAGGGAGCUUGCUCUCUGAUUCAGCGGCGGACGGGUGAGUAAUGCCUAGGAAUCUGCCUGGUAGUGGGGGACAACGUUUCGAAAGGAACGCUAAUACCGCAUACGUCCUACGGGAGAAAGCAGGGGACCUUCGGGCCUUGCGCUAUCAGAUGAGCCUAGGUCGGAUUAGCUAGUUGGUGAGGUAAUGGCUCACCAAGGCGACGAUCCGUAACUGGUCUGAGAGGAUGAUCAGUCACACUGGAACUGAGACACGGUCCAGACUCCUACGGGAGGCAGCAGUGGGGAAUAUUGCACAAUGGGCGCAAGCCUGAUGCAGCCAUGCCGCGUGUAUGAAGAAGGCCUUCGGGUUGUAAAGCACUUUCAGCGAGGAGGAAGGCCUUAAAGUUAAUACCUUUGAGGAUUGACGUUACUCGCAGAAGAAGCACCGGCUAACUCCGUGCCAG
rnacentral:rRNA from 1 species